AGUGAACGCUGGCGGUAGGCCUAACACAUGCAAGUCGAACGGCAGCACAGCAAGAGCUUGCUCUUACGGGUGGCGAGUGGCGGACGGGUGAGGAAUACAUCGGAAUCUACUUUUUCGUGGGGGAUAACGUAGGGAAACUUACGCUAAUACCGCAUACGACCUACGGGUGAAAGCAGGGGAUCUUCGGACCUUGCGCGAUUGAAUGAGCCGAUGUCGGAUUAGCUAGUUGGCGGGGUAAAGGCCCACCAAGGCGACGAUCCGUAGCUGGUCUGAGAGGAUGAUCAGCCACACUGGAACUGAGACACGGUCCAGACUCCUACGGGAGGCAGCAGUUGGGAAUAUUUGACAAUGGGCGCAAGCCUGAUCCAGCCAUACCGCGUGGGUGAAGAAGGCCUUCGGGUUGUAAAGCCCUUUUGUUGGGAAAGAAAAGCAGCAGGUUAAUACCCCGCUGUUCUGACGGUACCCAAAGAAUAAGCACCGGCUAACUUCGUG
rnacentral:rRNA from 1 species